AGGACGAACGCUGGCGGCGUGCUUAACACAUGCAAGUGGAGCGACGAACCAGGGCUUGCCCUGGGGCAGAGCCGCGAACGGGUGAGUAACACGUGGGUUACCUGCCUUGAUGACUGGGACAACCCGAGGAAACUCGGGCUAAUACCGGAUGUGCCCGCAAGGGGAAAGGAAGCUUCGGCCUCCGCAUCAAGAUGGGCCCGCGGCCCAUUAGCUUGUUGGUGAGGUAACGGCUCACCAAGGCUUCGAUGGGUAGCUGGUCUGAGAGGACGAUCAGCCACACUGGGACUGAGACACGGCCCAGACUCCUACGGGAGGCAGCAGUGGGGAAUCUUGCGCAAUGCGCGAAAGCGUGACGCAGCAACGCCGCGUGGGGGAAGAAGGCUUUCGGGUUGUAAACCCUUUCAGUUGGGACGAAGCUUCGUCGGUGAAUAGCCGGCUGGAGUGACGGUACCUUCACAGAAGCACCGGCUAACUACGCGCCAGCAGCCGCGGU
rnacentral:rRNA from 1 species